GGACGUGAGGGUAACAUCUGUCAUCCCAUUGAUUGCCAGGGCGGAUUUGGCUGAUCUCCUCCCUCACAGCUGUCUGUGUAUCCCUCCCAAAGCUGCACACUUGGCCCAAGAGGACAAACUACCCUGAUAGAGAAGUUCUUUACAGGAGCAGCUGAGCUCCCCAGAGAACCUCUAGACAAGCUCUCAAGAAACAAGGGGCUGGAGAUUGAGCUGUGCUGUUACUCCACUGCCCUCCUGGUGGGCCCCUCCUCUUCGAGGGCCCAGCA
rnacentral:snRNA from 1 species